rnacentral:rRNA from 1 species
GUGGGGAAUCUUGCGCAAUGGGCGAAAGCCUGACGCAGCCAUGUCGCGUGAAUGAUGAAGGUCUUAGGAUUGUAAAAUUCUUUCACCGGGGACGAUAAUGACGGUACCCGGAGAAGAAGCUCCGGCUAACUUCGUGCCAGCAGCCGCGGUAAUACGAAGGGGGCUAGCGUUGCUCGGAAUUACUGGGCGUAAAGGGCGCGUAGGCGGACAGCUUAGUCAGAGGUGAAAGCCCAGGGCUCAACCUUGGAAUUGCCUUUGAUACUGGCUGUCUUGAGUUUGGGAGAGGUGAGUGGAACUCCGAGUGUAGAGGUGAAAUUCGUAGAUAUUCGGAAGAACACCAGUGGCGAAGGCGACUCACUGGCCCAAUACUGACGCUGAGGCGCGAAAGCGUGGGGAGCAAACAGGAUUAGAUACCCGGGUAGUCC